rnacentral:rRNA from 1 species
GUAGGUGGCAAGCGUUGUCCGGAAUUAUUGGGCGUAAAGCGCGCGCAGGCGGGUCCUUUAAGUCUGAUGUGAAAGCCCACGGGCUCAACCGUGGAGGGUCAUUGGAAACUGGGGGACUUGAGUACAGAAGAGGAAAGCGGAAUUCCAAGUGUAGCGGCGAAAUGCGUAGAGAUUUGGAGGAACACCAGUGGCGAAGGCGGCUUUCUGGUCUGUAACUGACGCUGAGGCGCGAAAGCGUGGGGAGCAAACAGGAUUAGAUACCCUGGUAGUCCACGCCGUAAACGAUGAGUGCUAAGUGUUAGGGGGUUUCCGCCCCUUAGUGCUGCAGCUAACGCAUUAAGCACUCCGCCUGGGGAGUACGGCCGCAAAGGCUG